rnacentral:misc_RNA from 1 species
CCUUGACCCACACGGCCUCGCCGAACUUGACGCCGUUCCGGGCGAGGAGCUCCGGGAAGACGCAGCCGAGCGCGCCCAGCAUGGCCCACCGGCAGUGGAUCACCUCCAGCUCCCGGUUCUUGGCGAACGUCUCCGGGUCGGCGGAGAGCCCCGCGGUGUCCCACCCGUAGUCGCCGGGGAACUCGCCGGUGAGGUAGGACGGCGGCUCGCCGGAGAGCGGGCCGAGGUAGAGCACGCGGUCGGCGCCGUACCACGGGCUCCCCGACGCCGCGGCGGGCUUGGGCUUGGCCGCCGACUUGCGCAUCGUGACGCGGCCCUCGCCGAACACCUUGGCAUUGGCGACCGCCUUGCCGGCGAGGGCGGCAGGGGAGGAGAGUGCCAUGGUGGACGCCGCCAUUGACGCGAGCCUAGGACUAGGAGGAGAUGGCCACAGAUGCUUUUGGAAUGUGUGUCUUUUGAGCUCGU